UGCAGUCGAACGGAGAUUCAGCAAUGGAUCUUAGUGGCGAACGGGUGAGUAACGCGUAGGCAAUCUGCCUUCUAGAUGGGGACAACAUCCCGAAAGGGGUGCUAAUACCGAAUGUUGUACCGUUUCCGC
rnacentral:rRNA from 1 species